rnacentral:lncRNA from 1 species
AACAUGCCCGCUAGUGCACCUGUCAUAUCUAUGCUGCUGUGACCUGUUCCUUUUCGACAUUUUCGUAUUUUUCUGUGACUUCAGAGGGAGGUAAACAGGAAGUAAGUGACCUGGCCGUGUCAGGCUGAUCAGAUUUGACAGAACGCGGAGCAGUCCGAUUUGGGUUGACGGUUCGGACGGUUGUUUCCAAUGUUAAGAUUCCGAGAAAACGAUGUGCAAUGUCCCUUUCCACUUCGCAUCCGCUCCAUGUGUGUCGUCGUCGGACGCCUCAUGCCGCUCUGCUAGCUCACCAGCCUCCCUGUAUUAUCCAACCCUCGCCACGUGACAGGCUGCUCAAUGUGUGGUGUCUCGGACGCCUCAUGCUGCUUUGCCAGCUCCCCAGCCUGGAACAUCCCCCUGUAUUACCCAACGUGAGUGCCACGCACCGUAACAGCUUUUGCUUCAUUUUCGUUGGUUCCAAAAACAAUCGUCACAAAUCAUUGAAUAAUUUUUAUUUUAUUUACACAUACAGCAUAUACAAAACACCCUCCACCCAACCCACCACCAUGAGCACCUCAGUGACGGUGUCAAUGUUUGCCAACUCCAGCAGCACACGGCACACGGAACACGGCGACCACGACCACUGUUGCCACAAUAUUAUACAGUACAUACUACAUACACACUACCAAAUCAUGUUCAAUAAUAUUUUAACAAAAUAUAUAGAUUGUCCUUUUUGCAAAGAUUCAUCCCUGGUAAAUAUUAGUCUGUGUUUGUGGGGGUUAGAUACAAGUUGGAGAAAAUGAAUAGCCUAUCAAGUCAAGGUUAGGUAACAUGCUUUUGUUUCUUCGUUUUGAGUAAUACUGUGCCCUUCAUAGAAAUGGAGUGAAGCCGGUUUUCAUAGCAGAGCAGCUACUAAGAAGUUACUCUUGCCGAUGGACCUGUCUUAGGUGUGUAUGCAACAAGGAAGAUUCAAGUUUAAUGCCUGGCACUGUGGCCAACGCCCUGAGAAAUGCCUAGGCCUAUAUCUCCUAACACAACAAUUACAAAACAGUCUAUAAUAUCUGACUUUUGGAACAGAGAUGGAGUUCCAGGUGAAGCUACAAAAGGUGGCUCAGGACCUGAGCAGAUAUGACACAAAAGCUUAAGCCUUUCUCUGCAAGGAUAUCCUGAAAUGUUAUAUACGCUUGGUGGAGUCCCCAAGUGACCUCUUCCACCGUCUGGGAGAGCAAAACGACUCAG